AGCGAACGCUGGCGGCAGGCCUAACACAUGCAAGUCGAGCGGAUGAAGGGAGCUUGCUCUCUGAUUCAGCGGCGGACGGGAGAGUAAUGCCUAGGAAUCUGCCCGGUAAUGGGGGAUAACGUUCCGAAAGGAACGCUAAUACCGCAUACGUCCUACGGGAGAAAGCGGGGGAUCUUAGGACCUCGCGUUAUCGGAUGAGCCUAGGUCGGAUUAGCUAGUUGGUGGGGUAAAGGCCUACCAAGGCGACGAUCCGUAACUGGUCUGAGAGGAUGAUCAGUCACACUGGAACUGAGACACGGUCCAGACUCCUACGGGAGGCAGCAGUGGGGAAUAUUGGACAAUGGGCGAAAGCCUGAUCCAGCCAUGCCGCGUGUGUGAAGAAGGUCUUCGGAUUGUAAAGCACUUUAAGUUGGGAGGAAGGGCAGUAAGUUAAUACCUUGCUGUUUUGACGUUACCAACAGAAUAAGCACCGGCUAACUUCGUGCCAGCCGCCGCCGUAACAC
rnacentral:rRNA from 1 species